rnacentral:misc_RNA from 1 species
UCCUCCUUUUAUGUAACCUCUCAACAACCAUGUUAAUGUUUUUUUCUUCUGGAGAGAGGUUGUAACCUCUAUUCUAGUAAGUAAUCUUGCUAUUGCACUGACCUCCUUUUGAGAGGCACAGAUGGCUAAAACAAUAUCAUAAAGGUCUCUAUCAGCCUCCUUACCGACAAGUUUCAUUUCCCACAACUGUCUUUCAGCAUCUAGUCCGCAACCAGCACAAAUAUACAUAGCAAGAAGCCGCUCAUGAACUACACCAUAAAGGGAA